ACGGGGCCCGCACAAGCGGUGGAGCAUGUGGUUUAAUUCGACGCAACGCGAAGAACCUUUACCAGGUCUUGACAUCCCGAUGCUAUUUCUAGAGAUAGAAAGUUACUUCGGUACAUCGGUGACAGGUGGUGCAUGGUUGUCGUCAGCUCGUGUCGUGAGAUGUUGGGUUAAGUCCCGCAACGAGCGCAACCCCUAUUGUUAGUUGCCAUCAUUCAGUUGGGCACUCUAGCGAGACUGCCGGUAAUAAACCGGAGGAAGGUGGGAUGACGUCAAAUCAUCAUGCCCCUUAUGACCUGGGCUACACACGUGCUACAAUGGUUGGUACAACGAGUUGCGAGUCGGUGACGGCGAGCUAAUCUCUUAAAGCCAAUCUCAGUUCGGAUUGUAGGCUGCAACUCGCCUACAUGAAGUCGGAAUCGCUAGUAAUCGCGGAUCAGCACGCCGCGGUGAAUACGUUCCCGGGCCUU
rnacentral:rRNA from 1 species